rnacentral:misc_RNA from 1 species
AAGCAAGUCAUAUGAUGAACUGAAAAAUGGAAAACGCAUUGUGAAACUCUCGCACGAGACAUUUACUUGCCCCUACUGUACAAAAAAAAGAAAGAGGGAUUUCUUAUACAAGGAUCUCCUGCAGCAUGCUUCUGGGGUAGGAAACAGUCCUUCAAAUAAACGGAGUACCAAAGAGAAAGCUAAUCAUUUAGCUCUAUUGAAAUAUUUGGAAAAAGAUCUAGCUGAUGCUGUUGGUCCAUCAAAACCCGCUAGCAAUAAUGAUCCUGUUAUGGAUUGCAAUCAUGAUGAAAAGUUUGUGUGGCCUUGGAGAGGAAUUGUGGUAAACAUUCCAACUAGGCGCACAGAUGAUGGGCGAUACGUGGGAGGAAGCGGAUCAAAGUUUAGGGAUGAGUUG